rnacentral:ncRNA from 1 species
ACGGAAGCCCGGUGCGGCCAAGGUCGAUCCGGAAGAGAAGGUUCGAUCUCCCAACCCGGGCGCCCAGCACGGUACCCGGCACCCACGCGGAGUCAUAGCCGCGAUAAUGGCAGAAGUGUUGCGGGCCUGCGUAAUUGCGAAGCAGAAGAGCUUGGACGACCCUUUGGGUGGGGUUGAAGCUCGAAGCGUCGCAAGAUCGCCGAGGCCACCCACGCAGCCCAGAAGUGCACGCAUGGUAACCGGGUUCCGUGCUAGCGGGCGGCGGACCGAAUACUUCGGAGCGUCGCCCGCUCUGCAUG